rnacentral:lncRNA from 1 species
GGAAGAUCACGAGGGAGGAGUUAGCUGGUCCAGGGAGUUGGCCUUCCAGAAUGAAGAAGAAAGGGAGUCUGACAUCAGUUCCUAAGAAAGACCUAAAGCUGUUUGGUGUGGCUAUGAGGAUAUGAAUUUCCUGAGCAACCUGAUGAACAAGUCUCAUCACUUUGGAGUCUCUGCGUACAUAGCCAGAAUGUCAAUCCUCCUUCACUUCCGAGAUAAACCGACAGCAGGAAAGCCAAAUUCUCUCCCUGCAACCCUUCAGACUCUAAGAUAGGCUUUUCUGGAGCAGUUUUGAUAGAAUGAACUCAAUGAGAUACUGCCUAAAAGAGGACCCCAGGAAGCCCCGAAAGAUGUCCUGGUAAAACACAAGUGAGUAUAUGAAACAUACACAAAUAUUCUACCUCACUCAGAGAACUGCAGCCACAGAACUAUACUUAGAAUUUAUGGUAGAAGCUAAAAAUCUCAGAAACAUCUAUGUCAAUGUUAUUGAACUGUGUUGAGGAAGUAAGGAGACAUAGACAAGUUUCAAUCAUACAAACAGAGCAAACACAGUACCCUUGCUAUGCAGAAGCCAGG